rnacentral:rRNA from 1 species
AGCUACAAAAGCAGAGAUAUCUCUCGUACCUUUUGCAUCAUGAUUUAGCAAGCAAUAACCAAGCAAAAGGCAUUUUAGUUUGGUUCCCCCGAAACCAAGUGAGCUACUCCAAGGCAACCUAUUAUAAUUAGGGUAAACCCGUCUCUGUGGCAAAAGAGUGGGAAGAACUUCGAGUAGAGGUGACAGACCUAUCGAACUUGGCAAUAGCUGGUUGCUUGAGAAACGAAUAGGAGUUCCACCUCUUGUAUUCUUCCCCUCCUUCCCCCUUCGGUCUUAUAACUAGGCCCCUCUACAAGUAAAAGAAGACAAGAGAGUCAAUCAAAGAGGGGUACAGCCCCUUUGAGACAAGAUACAACUUUUCCAGGUGGGUAAAGAUCAUAACUUGCCAAGGUAGUCAUGUUCUGGUGGGCCUGAAGGCAGCCAUCCCCCUUAGAAAGCGUCAUAGCUCUAACAUGUCCCUCCCCUCCCCCAAUCCCGACAACAAAUCUUAACCCCCUAACCCGUAUCAAGCCGUCCCAUAAAAACAUGGGAGUGAUAAUGCUAAAAUGAGUAAUAAGAGGACAACGCUUCUCUCCCUGUACACGCAUAAAUCGGAACGGACCCCCACCGAAACUUAACGGCCCCAAAUAAAGAGGGCAUUGCAUGGUAAGCAACAAACUAGAAAACCAUCCAAAACCCAACCGUUACCCCCACACUGGUGUACUCCUAGGGAAAGACUUAAAGGAAAAGAAGGAAUUAAGCAAACACACCUAAGCCUCGCCUGUUUACCAAAAACAUCGCCUCUUGUUUUUUACACAUAAGAGGUCUCGCCUGCCCCGUGACUAAUAGUUUAACGGCCGCGGUAUUUUGACCGUGCAAAGGUAGCGUAAUCAUUUGUCUGUUAAAUGAAGACCUGUAUGAAUGGCAUAACGAGGGCUUAACUGUCUCCUUUCCCCGGUCAAUGAAAUUGAUCUCCCCGUGCAGAAGCGGGGAUACUAACAUAAGACGAGAAGACCCUAUGGAGCUUUAGACACUGGGAUAGAUCAUAUGAACAACCGCCUUAAGCAAAUAAUAGUAUUGAAUCUCUAUUCCCCUGUCUUUGGUUGGGGCGACCCUGGGGAAAAAAGAAACCCCCACGUGGACUGGGAACACAUUAUUCCUACAAUUAUGAGCCACACCUCUAAGACGCAGAAUUUCUGACCAACCUGAUCCGGCUACGCCGAUUAACGGACCAAGUUACCCUAGGGAUAACAGCGCAAUCCUUUUCGAGAGCUCCUAUCGACAAAAGGGUUUACGACCUCGAUGUUGGAUCAAGACAUCCUAAUGGUGCAACCGCUAUUAAGGGUUCGUUUGUUCAACGAUUAAAGUCUU